rnacentral:rRNA from 1 species
AUUGAACGCUGGCGGCAGGCCUAACACAUGCAAGUCGAACGAGUGGCGGACGGGUGAGUAAUGUCUGGGAAACUACCCGAUGGAGGGGGAUAACUACUGGAAAAGGUAGCUAAUACCGCAUACCAUCGGAUGUGCCCAGGUGGGAUUAGCGUGUAGGUGAGGUAACGGCUCACCUAGGCGACGAUCCCUAGCUGGUCUGAGAGGAUGACCCGCCAUAUGGGACCUGUGACACGGGCAGGCGUCAUACGGGAGGCAGCAGUGGGGAAUAUUGCACAAUGGGCGCAAGACGGAGGCAGCGAUGCCGCGUGUAUGAAGAAGGCCUUCGUGUUGUAAAGUACUUUCAGCGGGGAGGCGUUACCCGCAGAAGAAGCAACGGCUAACUCCGUGCCAGCAGCCGCGGUAAUAC